UUCCCCCCAGCAGUAUGACUGGGCGUACCUGUAGGUUUCCCCCCAGCAGUAUGACUGGGCGUACCUGUAGGUUUCCCCCCAGCAGUAUGACUGGGCGUACCUGUAGGUUUCCCCGCAGCAGUAUGACUGGGCGUACCUGUAGGUUUCCCCGCAGCAGUAUGACUGGGCGUACCUGUAGGUUUCCCCGCAGCAGUAUGACUGGGCGUACCUGUAGGUUUCCCCGCAGCAGUAUGACUGGGCGUACCUGUAGGUUUCCCCGCAGCAGUAUGACUGGGCGUACCUGUAGGUUUCCCCGCAGCAGUAUGACUGGGCGUACCUGUAGGUUUCCCCGCAGCAGUAUGACUGGGCGUACCUGUAGGUUUCCCCGCAGCAGUAUGACUGGGCGUACCUGUAGGUUUCCCCGCAGCAGUAUGACUGGGCGUACCUGUAGGUUUCCCCGCAGCAGU